GAGUUUGAUCCUGGCUCAGGACGAACGCUGGCGGCGUGCUUAACACAUGCAAGUCGAACGGAAAGGCCCUUCGGGGUACUCGAGUGGCGAACGGGUGAGUAACACGUGGGCAAUCUGCCCUGCACACCGGGAUAAGCCUGGGAAACUGGGUCUAAUACCGGAUAGGACCACUUGGCGCAUGCCUUGUGGUGGAAAGCUUUUGCGGUGUGGGAUGGGCCCGCGGCCUAUCAGCUUGUUGGUGGGGUGACGGCCUACCAAGGCGACGACGGGUAGCCGGCCUGAGAGGGUGUCCGGCCACACUGGGACUGAGAUACGGCCCAGACUCCUACGGGAGGCAGCAGUGGGGAAUAUUGCACAAUGGGCGCAAGCCUGAUGCAGCGACGCCGCGUGGGGGAUGACGGCCUUCGGGUUGUAAACCUCUUUCACCAUCGACGAAGGUCCGGGUUUUCUCGGAUUGACGGUAGGUGGAGAAGAAGCACCGGCCAACUACGUGCCAGCAGCCGCGGUAAUACGUAGGGUGCGAGCGUUGUCCGGAAUUACUGGGCGUAAAGAGCUCGUAGGUGGUUUGUCGCGUUGUUCGUGAAAUCUCACGGCUUAACUGUGAGCGUGCGGGCGAUACGGGCAGACUAGAGUACUGCAGGGGAGACUGGAAUUCCUGGUGUAGCGGUGGAAUGCGCAGAUAUCAGGAGGAACACCGGUGGCGAAGGCGGGUCUCUGGGCAGUAACUGACGCUGAGGAGCGAAAGCGUGGGGAGCGAACAGGAUUAGAUACCCUGGUAGUCCACGCCGUAAACGGUGGGUACUAGGUGUGGGUUUCCUUCCUUGGGAUCCGUGCCGUAGCUAACGCAUUAAGUACCCCGCCUGGGGAGUACGGCCGCAAGGCUAAAACUCAAAGGAAUUGACGGGGGCCCGCACAAGCGGCGGAGCAUGUGGAUUAAUUCGAUGCAACGCGAAGAACCUUACCUGGGUUUGACAUGCACAGGACGCGUCUAGAGAUAGGCGUUCCCUUGUGGCCUGUGUGCAGGUGGUGCAUGGCUGUCGUCAGCUCGUGUCGUGAGAUGUUGGGUUAAGUCCCGCAACGAGCGCAACCCUUGUCUCAUGUUGCCAGCGGGUAAUGCCGGGGACUCGUGAGAGACUGCCGGGGUCAACUCGGAGGAAGGUGGGGAUGACGUCAAGUCAUCAUGCCCCUUAUGUCCAGGGCUUCACACAUGCUACAAUGGCCGGUACAAAGGGCUGCGAUGCCGCGAGGUUAAGCGAAUCCUUUUAAAGCCGGUCUCAGUUCGGAUCGGGGUCUGCAACUCGACCCCGUGAAGUCGGAGUCGCUAGUAAUCGCAGAUCAGCAACGCUGCGGUGAAUACGUUCCCGGGCCUUGUACACACCGCCCGUCACGUCAUGAAAGUCGGUAACACCCGAAGCCAGUGGCCUAACCCUCGGGAGGGAGCUGUCGAAGGUGGGAUCGGCGAUUGGGACGAAGUCGUAACAAGGUAGCCGUACCGGAAGGUGCGGCUGGAUCACC
rnacentral:rRNA from 1 species